AACGAACGUUGGCGGCGCGCCUAACACAUGCAAGUCGCACGAGAAAGGGAGCAAUCCCCGGUACAGUGGCGCACGGGUGAGUAACACGUGGAUAAUCUUCCCUCGGGCGGGGGAUAACCUUCCGAAAGGAGGGCUAAUACCGCAUAAGACCACGGCCAGUACGCUGGCUGAGGUCAAAGCAGGCCUCUUCAUGAAAGCUUGCACCUGAGGAUGAGUCCGCGGCCCAUCAGCUAGUUGGUAGUGUUAAAGACUACCAAGGCUAAGACGGGUAGCUGGUCUGAGAGGAUGAUCAGCCACACUGGAACUGAGACACGGUCCAGACUCCUACGGGAGGCAGCAGUGGGGAAUCUUGCGCAAUGGACGAAAGUCUGACGCAGCGACGCCGCGUGGGUGAUGAA
rnacentral:rRNA from 1 species